AUUGAACGCUGGCGGCAUGCCUUACACAUGCAAGUCGAACGGCAGCACGGGAGCAAUCCUGGUGGCGAGUGGCGAACGGGUGAGUAAAGUAUCGGAACGUGCCCAGUCGUGGGGGAUAACGUAGCGAAAGUUACGCUAAUACCGCAUACGAGCUAUGGAUGAAAGCGGGGGAUCGCAAGACCUCGCGCGAUUGGAGCGGCGGAUAUCAGAUUAGGUAGUUGGUGGGGUAAAGGCCCACCAAGCCGACGAUCUGUAGCUGGUCUGAGAGGACGACCAGCCACACUGGGACCGAGACACGGCCCAGACUCCUACGGGAGGCAGCAGUGGGGAAUUUUGGACAAUGGGCGAAAGCCUGAUCCAGCCAUGCCGCGUGCAGGAUGAAGGCCUUCGGGUUGUAAACUGCUUUUGUACGGAACGAAAAGGACUGCCCUAAUACGGUGGUCCCAUGACGGUACCGUAAGAAUAAGCACCGGCUAACUACGUGCCAGCCGCCGCCGUAA
rnacentral:rRNA from 1 species